rfam:Myotis lucifugus cont2.5601, whole genome shotgun sequence.
GGAUGUGAGGGCCAUCUUGCUGUGACAUCUGUCACCCCAUUGAUCGUCAAGGUUGAUUCAGCUGCUCUGACUGGCUAGGCGGGUGUCUCCCUCCUAAUAACCAAUCCAUGUGCGUCCCGAAGCUGCAUGCUUGGUUGGUCUGUAGGUCAGAGAAGACAGCCUUUCCCCCAGAAGAGAGGACCGAUCUUUGGUCAAGAGUAGCUGUGCUCCCCUGUUGGAACCUCCAAACAGGCUCUCAGGAGUUCCUUGCUCUUUGGUUUUACUUUUCUGUCAUUUUUAUCUUGAGGCAUUAAAAUUGGGUCUGUACUCUGGGG